ACCCCUUACUUUUUUCAUUUACGCUGGCCGCAGGCCUAACAUAUGCAAGUCGAGCGGUAGCACAGUAGAGCUUGCUCUCGGGUGACGAGCGGCGGACGGGUGAGUAAUGUCUGGGAAACUGCCUGAUGGAGGGGGAUAACUACUGGAAACGGUAGCUAAUACCGCAUAACGUCGCAAGACCAAAGUGGGGGACCUUCGGGCCUCAUGCCAUCAGAUGUGCCCAGAUGGGAUUAGCUAGUAGGUGGGGUAACGGCUCACCUAGGCGACGAUCCCUAGCUGGUCUGAGAGGAUGACCAGCCACACUGGAACUGAGACACGGUCCAGACUCCUACGGGAGGCAGCAGUGGGGAAUAUUGCACAAUGGGCGCAAGCCUGAUGCAGCCAUGCCGCGUGUAUGAAGAAGGCCUUCGGGUUGUAAAGUACUUUCACCGGGGAGGAAGGCGAUAAGGUUAAUAACCCUUGUCGAUUGACGUUACCCGCAAAAGAAGCACCGGCUAACUCCGUGCCAAACAGCCGCGGGUAAUACAGGAGGGGUGCAAAGCGUUUAAAUCCGAAUUACUGGGGGCGUAAAAGCCGCACUGCAGGGCGGGUCUUGUCAAAGUUCGGCAUGUUGAAAAUUUCCCCCUGGGCUUAAACUUUCGGAAACUUGCAUUUACUAAAACUUGGGCAAGGCUUAGAAUUUUUUUGUUAGACGGGGGGGGGUAUGAAUUUCCCAGGCUUUCUACCGGGGUAAAAAUUGCCUUAAAAGAAUCUUGGAAGGAAAUACCCGGCGGGCCAAAACGCCGCCU
rnacentral:rRNA from 1 species